UGUAAAUUUUAACCUUUAUUUCCUCCUCCUCCGAUUUUCCAGUCUUCCAACCUUUUUAUAUCUCAAACCUCGCGAGACUAUUAAUUAGCCAAUUGCGAUUGAGUAUUGGGGUCACGUGUACUGCUGCAGUGUUACCUGCUAGGUAUAUUAGCUGGAGCGGGGAGGCAUGACGGUUAGAACACGUUGGAAGGAGCAGAGCUGCAGGUCAGUUAAAGCAUAGAAUCAUUUAAU